AUUGAACGCUGGCGGCAGGCCUAACACAUGCAAGUCGAACGAGCGGCGGACGGGUGAGUAAUGCAUGGGAAUCUGGCUGAUGGAGGGGGAUAACUACUGGAAACUGUAGCUAAUACCGCAUACUAUCGGAUGAACCCAUAUGGGAUUAGUUAGUUGGUGAGGUAAAGGCUCACCAAGCCGACGAUCUCUAGCUGGUCUGAGAGGAUGAUAAGCCACACUGGGACUGAGACACGGCCCAGACUCCUACGGGAGGCAGCAGUGGGGAAUAUUGCGCAAUGGGCGCAAGCCUGAUGCAGCCAUGCCGCGUGUAUGAAGAAGGCCUUAGGGUUGUAAAGUACUUUCAGCGGGGAGGCGUUACCCGCAGAAGAAGCACCGGCUAACUCCGUGCCAGCAGCCGCGGUAAUUC
rnacentral:rRNA from 1 species